rnacentral:rRNA from 1 species
UGGGGAAUCUUGCACAAUGGGCGAAAGCCUGAUGCAGCGAUUCCGCGUGGAGGAUGACGCCUUACGGUGUGUAAACUCCUUUUUUGGUGGAAGACGAAUGACGGUACACCAAGAAUAAGGGACGGCUAACUACGUGCCAGCAGCCGCGGUAAUACGUAGGUCCCAAGCGUUAUCCGGAUUUACUGGGCGUAAAGUGUCCGUAGCCGGAUAUACAAGUCUGGUGUCAAAUAUCCUGGCUCAACCAGGAAAAGGGAAUAGGUACUGUAUAUCUAGAGAAUAUUGGAGGUUAGUGGAAUUUCCGGUGGAGCGGUGAAAUGCGUUGAUAUCGGAAAGAACGCCGAAAGCGAAAGCAGCUAACUAUGAUUAUUCUGACGGUGAUGGACGAAAGCUUGAGUAGCAAACG